rnacentral:rRNA from 1 species
GAUGAACGCUGGCGGCGUGCCUAAUACAUGCAAGUCGAACGCUGGAGAUCUAGCUUGCUAGAUCGAAGGAGUGGCGAACGGGUGAGUAAUACAUAAGCAACCUACCCACGAAGACUGGGAUAAUCUCUGGAAACGGGGACUAAUACCGGAUAGGUAAUCGGAAGGCAUCUUCUGGUUAUUAAAGGUUAAACACACUGGUGGAUGGGCUUAUGGCGCAUUAGUUAGUUGGUGAGGUAACGGCCCACCAAGACGAUGAUGCGUAGCCGGCCUGAGAGGGUGAACGGCCACAUUGGGACUGAGACACGGCCCAGACUCCUACGGGAGGCAGCAGUAGGGAAUUUUCGGCAAUGGGGGCAACCCUGACCGAGCAACGCCGCGUGAGUGAAGACGGCCUUCGGGUUGUAAAGCUCUGUUGUAAGGGAAGAACGGUAGAUAGAGAAUAUCUAAGUGACGGUACCUUACCAGAAAGCCACGGCUAACUACGUG